UUUUAAACUAUAAACAAACCAGCAUGGCUGAUGAUUUGGAUGAUGAGUGGUGGGAAACAGACAAUCGUGGAAAAGAAGAAGUGUCAGAACAAGGUAGUACCGAUGAUGAAGGGCAGGAGAAUGAAGAGGAGGGACAAAAACAGAAGAAGAUAAAGAGGCCGCUUGAUUCAAAUGAAGACCAAGAUGAUGGCCCUAAAAAGAAAAAGAAGCAUAGAAGAAAGGUGUUAUUGACUUAUAGACAUUACUUUAAACUUUCUUUUUGUGUGUUUUUUAAAUCAUCACAGUGUUUUGACUCUCUCACUAUUGCAUUAUUGUGCUAUUUUUUGCACAGUUGUUUGACCAGUUCUGAAUUUUGACCAGUUUCGAAUAGUUCAUAAAUCAAAUUAUAGCAAAUUAAAAAAAAAGAUGGAGCUAAAAGUUGAUGCCUAGAGUAUAAAUGCUUAUUAAUGAUCGUUUGAAUUCUGCAGUAUUUAAUUUUUUGGGGUCAUUUUGCAUACAAUAUUAUUAGUUUUUACUUUAGAUUAGUAGUCCAACUGUUGCUUUGCAAUAAAUCCAGCUCAUUGUAAAGACAAAUACAAAUGACUCUACUUGCUAUUUUACCAUAAAGUUUUAUCUUUUCAUCAACAGUGAUAUCAUGUUAUACUGAAUGUAUUGUGAAAUAGCAUAUAUAUUGGACUUAUACAUUUGGACAUAAAUUUAUUUAAAUGAAUCUGGAGUACUAGCUAGAAACAACCAUUACUGUACAAAAUUCAAGUGAUUCUGGCUUACAAUAAUUAUCACAUGCUUGCAAGCAUGACCUUCUUUUUGACCUCAGGCAAUUGAUCUUGCUCAAUGAAAUCAAAACGCAAGGGAGCAAAUUACUUUAUCAGUACCAUCAGGAACAAUUUCUAAAACACAAACAACUUUUUAUAAUUUUACUUACUUUACGUUGGCUUUCAUGUCUGUCCAUUUUCAACUAACUUAAAAGGGCUGGUAUGUGACUACUUUAAUUUGCAGUUCUGUGUUUGUCCAUUCCGAUUUUUAAUAAACAUAAUUAUAAGAGGACUCGUCUAUCAUGAUCACAGCGUGUGACAAACUAAAAGAGAGAUUUUUGACUCUAUAUUCAAUAUAAUUUCCACUUAGAACUGAUAUAUCAUCAAAAUCGAAACUUGUCAAUUAUCUUUUCAAUUAUAUCAUAAAAUUUUGAACUCGUCAUAAAAAACCACGUUUACAGUAGUAACUUGAUGCAUUGCUCCUUCAUAUUAGGCUACCUAUUUUUCAGUUGUUACGAUUAUAUUUUGUUAUAGAAAAUUACCUCAGAAUUGAAAGAAACAGGAGAUAAUUCUAGGGCCACUUCUACAGAUGUAGUGAAUGUGAUAUCAAAAUAUUUUGAUGGAAAACUUUCAGCAGUGGAAUGGGAUGAACUUAAACUUGACCCAAAUAGUGACUUUUAUGCCAGCAGUGAGGGAGACCACACUCCAAGUUCUUACCUAAGAACCAUCUUACCAAAGUGGAAAAAACUGGUCCAAACGAGUCAACUGAAGCCUGGCUCUCCCUUGGUUCUGAUCAUUACAUCAUCAGCCAUAAGGGCUGUUCAUCUCAAUAGGAGUAUAACUGAUUUUAAGACGGAGGAUUGUAAAUGUGCCAAACUAUUUGCAAAGCACUUCAAGAUAGAAGAGCAAAAAAAGUAUCUCUCCAAGAAUGUGUGUCACAUAGGACUUGGUACCCCCAACAGAAUCUGCAGUCUUCUAAAGAGUGGGUCACUUCACCUUGACAGUGUAAAGAGCAUUGUACUGGACUGGAAUUGGAGAGACAAGAAAUUUAAACGAAUGACGGACAUUGUGGACACACGAAAAGACUUGAUGCUGUUACUGCAGACCUCUCUGAUCCCUCACAUACACGCCAGCAAGUGUAAAAUAGGAAUACUCUGAGGAAACAGACGAAGCUGUUUAAAUCUCUCACACUUAUUUACUGUUGGUUUUAACAUUGGUUUAAAACUGAUUUUAUUGUAGACCUGCUUAAACAAUUGUAUUGUUUAUAAAAAAUCUUGAAUAUAAAAAUCAUUAUGGUU
rnacentral:misc_RNA from 1 species